rnacentral:lncRNA from 1 species
GGAGCGGACGGUACCACAGGGGGGUGGUGGCGGGGAGGGUCCCCCUGCACCAGAGGGGAGGAGGGUGCUUGGCGAUGAGGCCCGAGGGGAUCCGGGGGCGAGGGGGUGGCUGUAGGAGAGCCCACGCGAGGGUGUUAGUGUUGGACGAAGCCCACCAUGGGGUGCCAGCCAAGCAGAGCAGCAGAAGGGUCCCGGGGUGGCGGUGGCCAGCCUGGGUCUGGCUCCCGCUGAGGGAGGCCGAGCGGUGGUUCAUAAAGAUCACAGAAUCACAGAAUCUUCUAGGUUGGAAGGGACCUUAAAGAUCAUCUUGUCCAACCGUCAACCAAACUGACAAAAAUAGACACCCACACAACAAACAAGGAGCAUCAUCACUAAACCAUACUUCCCAGCACUACAUCAACCCGUCUUUUGAACACCUCCAGGGAUGGUGCCUCAACCACCUCCCUAGGCAGCCCAUUCCAAUGUCUGAUAACCCUUUCAGUGAAAAAAUUUCUUCUGUAAAUUGGGAAGGAAAGUGGGUAGAAUUAUUUAAGUUGCACUUCCUUAGCAGCAUGGGAAUUGGCUACAGUAAAUCUCAAAAGAGUGACUGCAUUAUUGUUCUCCCGUCCAGGCUGAAUACCUAUUUAGGUUAAAAAUAGCUAGAAAUUGUAUCUUGCCAAGCUGUGGUGCUAGGUCUUUUUGUCUGCCUUAAGCAUUUCUCCAAGAGUAAAGGUCAAUAAUGAUCUAAGAAAGAUGUAUUUUAUGGUGAAUUUAAAUGCUUUUGAAAUGUAAUGUUGCAAAAGCUCUGCAUCAAUUAAAACAUUAUAUCUAAACUUUGUUCUUCUGAUUUCUGUCUAUUAAGUCAACAACACUUUACUAGGCGCUCUGUGGCAACACUUUGGAGCACCAUUUCUCCAAUUACAACUGAUAUUAGCGUAGCUGAUAAAGACAAUUAUGCCUGGAAAUAAUGAAUUGUGUUAACGUAGCCCAAGUUGUAUGCAUAUCUAGGCAUGCACCACCUUCCUGGCCUGCUGCUGUAGCUAAAGGAUCGUGGGCGUGGGUGUGCUCGGUUCCGUGUGUGCAACACCAGAGCGAGAACCAGAAGGAGCACCUGAGCCAAAGGAACAGGAUAGUGAAAACCAACAACGUAACUCCACUGGAAGAAGGCAUCCUGGCUGCUUGGCUGCAAAGCUGCUGUACAACCACGAUGCAAACCGAGCAUAUUCAGAGGGAGCCUCAGGCGUGGGAAGGGGAGCAGGUUUAUGUACCUGCAGAUAUUUUCUUUGCCUUAAGCUCACAGUGAAGCUGCAGUGGAAAAAGCAGAUGCUGGUUUUCCUCCCCAGCCUAAGAUGCUUCUCUGAACCUGAGCUAGAAGCACUCUGUCUAUUUGCUUGUGGUAUUUCCAGACCUGCUGAAGGCCUAGAAAGCGCAGCCGCUGAAACACACACACAAUUGCUUAUUCAGGCAGAGUUUGGUGUACUGGGAGACAAGUUGUUGGAAUAAACACAGCUGUGAUUUUUCCA